AAAGGGAAAUCAUCAAUAAUGCAAGUCCAAAUUAAGAGAAGUAAAACAAAGGUGGAUGAAGGUUUUAAGAUUUUGAUUUCGUAAAAAUGAGACGCUUCUUCAACUUGGACUGAGGUCCUCCUCAACGUGCUGGACCCCUGAAUUGGCUUUUGUAUUAGUUGGAACGCCAGAACAUGAACAAUCUAACUACUCUUCUGUCUUUAUGGUACUACUGGAAGCAUGUUCAAGACUAAAUUGUACAACUUUGUUAUGCAAAUGAGUGUAUAUGCUAUGAACCAAAAUAUUUAGUCAGUUUGAUGA